CCUACGGGAGGCUGCAGUGGGGAAUAUUGGACAAUGGGGGGAACCCUGAUCCAGCCAUGCCGCGUGCGUGAAGAAGGCCCUCGGGUUGUAAAGCACUUUCAGUGAGGAAGAACGCCUGGUGGUUAAUACCCAUCAGGAAAGACAUCACUCACAGAAGAAGCACCGGCUAACUCCGUGCCAGCAGCCGCGGUAAUACGGAGGGUGCGAGCGUUAAUCGGAAUUACUGGGCGUAAAGCGCGCGUAGGUGGCUUGAUAAGCCGGUUGUGAAAGCCCCGGGCUCAACCUGGGAACGGCAUCCGGAACUGUCAAGCUAGAGUGCAGGAGAGGAAGGUAGAAUUCCCGGUGUAGCGGUGAAAUGCGUAGAGAUCGGGAGGAAUACCAGUGGCGAAGGCGGCCUUCUGGACUGACACUGACACUGAGGUGCGAAAGCGUGGGUAGCAAACAGGAUUAGAUACCCUGGUAGUC
rnacentral:rRNA from 1 species